rnacentral:rRNA from 1 species
GACAGAGGGUGCAAACGUUGUUCGGAAUUACUGGGCGUAAAGGGCUCGUAGGCGGCCAACUAAGUCAGACGUGAAAUCCCUCGGCUUAACCGGGGAACUGCGUCUGAUACUGGAUGGCUUGAGGUUGGGAGAGGGAUGCGGAAUUCCAGGUGUAGCGGUGAAAUGCGUAGAUAUCUGGAGGAACACCGGUGGCGAAGGCGGCAUCCUGGACCAAUUCUGACGCUGAGGCACGAAGGCCAGGGGAGCAAACGGG